UAGGAGGUGGUGUAGUGGAAGCACAAAGAGCUUUGAAUUCUUCAGUUAGGGUUCGAGUCCCUUCCUCCUAA
rnacentral:tRNA from 1 species